rnacentral:rRNA from 1 species
GUGUCAGCAGCCGCGGUAAGACGAACCGUGCGAACGUUGUUCGGAAUCACUGGGCUUAAAGGGCGCGUAGGCGGGUGGCCAAGUCGGUGGUGAAAUCCUCCAGCUCAACUGGAGAAUUGCCUUCGAUACUGGUUGUCUUGAGGGGGGUAGGGGCAGACGGAACUUCCGGUGGAGCGGUGAAAUGCGUAGAUAUCGGAAGGAACGCCGGCGGCGAAAGCGGUCUGCUGGACCCUCACUGACGCUGAGGCGCGAAAGCCAGGGGAGCAAACGGGAUUAGAUACCCCGGUAGUCC